rnacentral:rRNA from 1 species
UACGGGGGGGGCAAGCGUUGUUCGGAAUUACUGGGCGUAAAGGGUUUGUAGGUGGCUUGUUAAGUCAGACGUGAAAUCCCUCAGCUUAACUGGGGAACUGCGUCUGAUACUGGCGAGCUUGAGUGCAGGAGAGGAACGCGGAAUUCCAGGUGUAGCGGUGAAAUGCGUAGAUAUCGGGAGGAACAUCUGUGGCGAAGGCGACACCCUGGACCAGCACUGACACUGAGGCACGAAAGCGUGGGGAGCAAACAGG